AGCGUCGAUAGUUCAAUCGUUUACGAACGUAUCCCUUGAAGGGGUGAAAUGCGGGUUCGAGCCCCGACUGGCGUCA